AAAUAUAGAAAGGGUCCAGCAUUCACCUCUCUACUGUAGUACUUAAACCCAACAAAACCCCCCGGUCUGUACUGUUGAAUAAAACCCAAUUCUCGAAUAAAAUAAAAAAUUGUAACAAAUUUGUCCAAACAACAAUGAAUGUAGUAAUAGCACCAUCAUCAAUUGACAUCGGCAUUGAUUGCCGGGGCCGACAAACAGGGUCCCGAGCAAACCCGUUACAAGGCUUGCUCCUCUACUCCCCACGGCCUCGCCUCCGUAGGUUGCCUUUUCCUUGCCUGCUCUCAACUUUGCCACCCCUCCGCCACCUCCUUUACUAGUCUUGGUCCAAGGUUUACUCUAAAAACCAUACUAGCUCUUCCACUCUUCGCCUGAACUCUUUCUCUUCCCCACAGCCUCAGGCAAAAGUUAAAAGCUUUCCCGCGGAAGCUGUUAAACCGCUCGCUGCUAAUAGCGAAGGGAGAUACAUCGUUGCUGGAGGUUCAUCCGGUGAUGUUUACCUUUGGGAGGUUGUAACGGGUAAGCUAUCAAAGAAAUGGCACGCUCAUUUUGAGGCAGUUACAUGCUUGGUUUUCUCCGAGGAUGAUUCACUCCUCAUUUCUAGAUCAGAGGAUGGAUGCGUUAGAGUUUGGUCGCUUUUCAUGCAUGCUCCAUGUUCUAAUCCUUAUUAAAUUAUACUCUGUCAGGAUUGCGCUUGUUAAUUUGAUUAUUGUGGUUAUUAGCUUGUUAUGUUAGGGUAUUUGAUGAUGUUAGAAGGCUGCAGGCAAGGCAUCUGUACAGAGCGUUGUUUUGCAGAACAUACCCUGCGUAUAACUGAUAUCGUUAUGGGUUAAGGUAGAAGCAAUGCAAUUAUGGUGUCGGCUUCUGAGGAUCACACAUGUUUGGAGCUUGUCCAGGGGAAGAUUAUUAAGAAACAUUAUGUUUCCUUCCAUCAUUGAUGCAAUUGCUUUAGACCCUGGUGAACAUGUCUUGUACGCUGGCUUUCAAGAUGGUAAAAUCUAUAUUGCUGCCCUUAAUGCUGAAAGUUCACCUAGCAACAGUUAUGGCCUGCACAUCAUCGGUUCACUAUCUGAUCACAGGAGUUAUUUUGUUUUUUGUUUUUGUUUUUCCUAUCUUUACUGAAUUAGGUAAUUCUGGCAUUGUUAGUCUAUGAUGGUUGGUGUGGUAUCUCAUUUUAAUUUUAGUCCUUAAAAAGGUGCUGUGGUUGUCACACACCAACAUGAAGUUGAUGAUACGUCAUAAUUUGACUCAUAGAUGGAUUAAUAAUAUUCGUAGUUUAUAAUAAAUAUUGUGCUUUCCCCAUUAAAACUUUAGAACAAUAAGGCUGCUACUUGCAUGGUUCGAGUUUGGGAUGUGAAAACCCAAAACAUCUUUCACAUGUUUAGACAUGCCAAAGGUUUCAUCCAAACAACAAGAGAUUUUACUUGUUUUCUUCAAAAGGCUUGAUUAGAUUGCAUGCUUUGCAUCUUCUUUAAAACGGAUCUCAUUUGAAAAAGCAUAGAUUUUGUUUCUUCACAUUCUGUUCUGUACAUUUAGUCCAUGCAGCAUGCAUAAAAUGGUAAAAAUAUUAUUACUACUGUCUUAAAGUAGGGGAAUCUAAAACACAGUCUAUUGAACAGAGCCCUGGAACAUUCAACGAGAGAGCCAUGAAGAAAAAUGAAAAACUGGACCACUAAUCAGUCUAGUUAUGAUAUAAUCCCUUGUUUCUGAAGGAUUACUAGUCAUGAGUCCCUUGAACUUGGCACUUGACUAAGAUUUUCAGAACAACCAAGAACUCCAUAUUAAGUUUCCGUCUUAAUAAGAACUCUCUUAGUUUAUCAUGCUAAAAGAAUUAAUCUCCCAUACUUUAAAGGAGUGCUUCCAUAAUAGUUUCAUGCUCAUGAUAAACAAACCAAAGAAUGUAGCAUAAGAGGGAAAUUAGUAUUUUUUCCUUUGCCAAAGCUAAGAUUUUGUUCAUCUAGUUGGUGUGCUUUUCCUUUUCCUUUUUCCUACCAUAGAUUUGCACAUGUUCUUUCUUUUGCACCUGCAAACCAUUUAACUUAUAUUCAAUCAUAUUCAGGCCCUGUGACCAAUCUUCCCUCUUGGUCAGGCAGCAGGACCAAAUGGGCAAGCUCCUCAAGAAGUCGAGAAUUACCACCUCCACUACAAAAAUAUGCAUGAAACAUAUUCUAGAAAGAUUAUGCAGAUUCAGGACAGGUGUGCAAAAUGUUCAGUUUGAUGAGUAAUGUUUCUACUAUGCAAUCACAUUCAGCUAGCAACAAAGUUAGAAAUCUGUGACCACAUGGAAUGCUAGUGUGUCUGCAAAGUUGGUGAUCUAUCUACCUCCAUUUCCAUGGUCUUAAAAUAUAACCAUGUAGGCAUGCACCAUAGACAUUCUCCGAGUAAACAAGAGAUGUAUUAAUCUGUAUGUCCUGGUCUCUGUUUUGGACGUAAUGUUUUUUUAUUAUUUUUUUCUCAAUAAUUUCAUAUUCAAGCUCUGCAAGACAUUAUAAACGUGUCCAAGAGACAAAUUGUUGAAAUUUAUUAUAUUCAAACAAUGAAUGCUAUCAAAGAAAUAUUUUAAUACA